rnacentral:rRNA from 1 species
CCCUUAGAUGUUCUGGGCCGCACGCGCGCUACACUGUUCGACGCAGCGAGUCUUAACCUUGACCGAAAGGUUUGGGUAAUCUUCAGCAAAGUCGAACGUGAUGGGGAUCGAUCAUUGCAAUUAUUGAUCGUGAACGAGGAAUUCCUAGUAAGUGCAAGUCAUCAGCUUGCGUUGAUUACGUCCCUGCCCUUUGUACACACCGCCCGUCGCUACUACCGAUUGGGAAAAUUUUAGAGAGUCCUGGACUGAUGAUUGUUCGGCUUCACGGCCUUACUUUCGUCGGGAAAGAAUUCGAUAAUAUUUUUCUAGAGGAAGUAAAAGUCGUAACA